GAUGAACGCUGGCGGCGUGCCUAAUACAUGCAAGUCGAGCGAACAGACGAGGAGCUUGCUCCUCUGACGUUAGCGGCGGACGGGUGAGUAACACGUGGAUAACCUACCUAUAAGACUGGGAUAACUUCGGGAAACCGGAGCUAAUACCGGAUAAUAUAUUGAACCGCAUGGUUCAAUAGUGAAAGACGGUUUUGCUGUCACUUAUAGAUGGAUCCGCGCCGCAUUAGCUAGUUGGUAGGGUAACGGCUUACCAAGGCGACGAUGCGUAGCCGACCCGGGAGGGUGAUCGGCCACACUGGAACUGAGACACGGUCCAGACUCCUACGGGAGGCAGCAGUAGGGAAUCGUCCGCAAUGGGCGAAAGCCUGACGGAGCAACGCCGCGUGAGUGAUGAAGGUCUUCGGAUCGUAAAACUCUGUUAUUAGGGAAGAACAAAUGUGUAAGUAACUAUGCACGUCUUGACGGUACCUAAUCAGAAAGCCACGGCUAACUACGUG
rnacentral:rRNA from 1 species